rnacentral:rRNA from 1 species
CCCUUAGACACUCUAGGCGGUACGCGCGCUACAAUGGGUGGAAGAACGUGUUACUGCCUCCGAAAGGAGGGGUGAAUCACGAAUUCUUGCCCGUGAAUGGGAUAGUUUGUUGCAAUUUUCGGACUUGAACUAGGAAUCCCUUGUAAACAUGCUCAAGAAUAGCGUGUUGAAUACGUCCCUGCCGUUUGUACACACCGCCCGUCGUUUCUUCCGACUGAUACUCAUUGUGAGUUGCAAGGACCCUUUAUUGGGAAAUUGCUGCAAAUGCUUUGUAUUGGAGGAAGAAAAAGUCGUAACA